rfam:Phalacrocorax carbo contig110062, whole genome shotgun sequence.
UGAUUUCUCUUCAGAUCAUGUAAAUAUUUUGCCCUUUACUAAAGAUUUCCAUGGAGAGGAACAAUUUA